rnacentral:lncRNA from 1 species
UUAAAAAAUAGACUGAAAGAUGAAAACUCGUGUGAAUUCAUGCUUUGGGUAACUUCUAGAAGUUUUGUCACUCUAAUUGCAGAAAUCAUGAACAUUUAAAGUCAAGCGUCUCAAUCCAUCCUUGUGGUUUGAGUGUUAUAGUCUGUUAAGCUAUCUUGGUAACAGUGUUAGGAAUGAGACUUCUAACAGGAGCUGAGGGUAACGUGACUAAGGUUAUCACUAGGAAAGCAGGUCCUCCUGAGAGGCCUCCUGAAAAAAGGAUGGAUUCUCCAUUUCCCUCCUGUGUACUUCCUCAUUUGAGGUUCCCUCCACCUUUGUGGUAGCUUGAAUAAGCUUGUCCCAGGAAGUGGCACUUAGGAGGUAGCCUUGUUGGAAUAGGUGUGGCCUUGUUGGAGUAGGUGUGGCCUUGUUGAAGUAGGGGUGUCACUGUGGGGGGUGGGCAACGAGACCCUCCUCCUAACCACAUGAGACUCAGUCUUCUUUUAUUGGCCUUCAGAUGAAGAUGUUGAACUCUCAGCUCCUCCUGCACCAUGCCUGCCUGGAUGCUGCCAUGUUCCUGCCUUGAUGAUAAUGGACUGAGCCUCUGAACCUGUAAGCCAGCCCCAAUUAAAUGUUGUCCUUAAAAGAGUUGCCUUGGUCAUGGUGUCUGUUUACAACAGUAAAACCCUAACUAAAACAGCAUCAAAUGUUAACUUGGUAGCCUUCAUAACUAUAAGAAACAAACCCCUACAUAAGGCCCUAGGGACAAAUAUAUAUUACUGUUAUUUUGCUUAAAGGUUCUGUCAUUAAACUGCCUACUAAAUAUUCAUGCUCACAUCAGCACUGCUCUUGACAUUGAUCUGAGAAGGUUCCUUUUGCCUUGGGUAGUGGUUAAUGCAGAGACUCAAAGAGAUGAGUCUGAUCAAUGAGUGUUCAUCCCUAAAUGGGAUAUCUGUAUCAAUCUACCUCUGCAAGGAUAGAAGCCAGAGGAUGGGUAACAGCCCUGUGAAGUGCUGUCUCUUGGAUGUGACAUGGCCAUUUCACUUGUGAUCUCAUGGGAGUUAUGGUUAUUUGCAUACGACCAACGCAAAAGCAAGCCAGUCAACAUUCCCAGUGUGCAUGAGGCCCUACAUAAGGCCCUAGCCGACCUACUGACAAGUUGAUGGCUGCUGGGGGGGCAAGGAGUCUUAUUUCCCCCAUGGAUGCGGCUGCUGGUAGGUUGCCUAUGCUCUAGUGGAUGGAUGACUGCACACCCAUGAGCAUAUGGUCAACACUAACUGGACCCAAUGGGUAAGAAGGAGGAGGAGGAGGAAGAAGAGGAGGAAGAGGAGGAGGAGGAGGCAACAGGGAGGGGAGAGGGGCUGAGGAGAUGGCUAAGUGGUUAAGAGCACUGACUGCUCUUCCAGAGGUCCUGAGUUCAAUUUCCAGCAACCACAUGGUGGCUCUCAAGAAGAAGAAGAGGAAGAAAAGAGACAGCAAGGCAGAAGGAGGACAUGUUGGGAGAGUAAAAGGAGAGAGCUUGGGGUAGAUAUGAUCAAGAUACACUGUAUAUGUAUGAAAUUGUCAAAUAAGGGCAGGGACUGCCAUUCAGUGGUAGAUCGUUUUGUCUUGCAUCCAUGAAGACCUAGGUUUGAUCCCUAGUACUUCCAAAAUCUAAGACAUUCUAUAUGGUGUCAUUAUACCUGUUGAGUGGGUAAAAUGGCUUAGCAGAUAAAGGCCUUGCUGCCAGGUCUGACAUAUCAGUUCUAUCCCCAAACCCACAUGGUAGAAGGAGAAAAAUCAACUCCUACCUGCAGACUAGUGUGUGCUCAGAGUCUAACCUAGGUCCUCUAGAAGGCCAGAGCUCUUAACUGGAGCCAUUUCUCCAGGCUCAAACAAGAUUAACAGGAAAGAGUUUACCUUUCAAAAAGACAUUCAGGCCAGGAAUUGACAGUGUCAUAGAAAGUCUGUCCACUGUCUGCUGCAGCUUCGGACCUCAGCCAUUCUCCUACAGAGUUCUUUAGCAUGAACAUAAGUUCUGCAGCACACUCCCCUGCCUUCUUCAAGGUCACCUCUACCCAGCCAUGAAGGGCAAGACUGGAGUUCUCUCUGUGGAGAUUUACUGUGUUGGCCGGAAGUUACUUCCAGUGCCCUCAGUUUAUCAAAGGAGGGAAGAGGCAUCUGCAGGCCUGGGGGCAAGAACAGACACCAGUGAUGGGUGUUUUGUCACCUACAGGGCAGACGGAGACAGUUUGCCCUCUCAGUACAGCUCGCCCUGUUCCAAGCUCACCUCCUCCUGGAGAUGAUGGCACUUUUUAAAGUAGGUCCAUCUGUAAUGUGCCCGGUGCUGCUCAUUACGUUACUUAAUAAAUGGUGCAUAAGAUAUCAUGAAUGGUUUUACAGAGAGACCUAACACAGGCCUUACUCCUUUGCAAUAUAGCUCGGUUCCCCAGGCAUUAGCUAUCACCCCUUAGCUUGCCUCCACACUCAGAGAGCCACAAACACAAAUACACGUGGCUGAGGCAGGUGCUCCCUUAGCAGGAGCCAGAGCGAACAGCACAGCUCCUGAAACACCACCGAGUCGGUAUGAUUCUGAGAUUGGAACUUGGCGCCCUUCAAAUUAUUCGUGUUAUGGAAUCAUUCUGUUUCCCCAGGCAACAUAAUCAACCACGAAACCACUUUGGAAACUUUUGAUUAAGAAAGAAGAAAAGAGCAUACAGUAGCCCUGGAAAGCCUCUCAAGCAACACAAGAGAAGUCUUAGCUCAGAGGCCUCCCUUCGGUCAGAAGGAGAAAAUGCUGUCCUUUAGCCCUAGCCUGAUUUAGGUUUAGAAAUUCUAUAGUGUGGUCUGUUUAUGGAAAUCUAUCUCGGAGGUGUGUGUGUGUGUGUGUGUGUGCAUGUAUGUACAUGCAGCCAUGUUUAUUUCUCCCAGAAAGCUUUUGAAUUCUUAGUUUCAAAGGUAUGUCCAUGAUGUCUAAGCCUUGGGUUAAAGAACUAUUCAUAUCCUCCAGAUUUCCUUAUCCUCGUCCACAGUGUCCGCAACUUUCCCAGGAUCCUUACCUUACAGUAUGAUGUGAUAUUUUGUGUUCUGCAUUUUUAUUGUUUUGGUUUGUUUUUCUCAAGACAGGGUUUCUCCACACAGCCCUGGCUGUUUGGGAACUUAGAUAUUCCCCCGCCACUGCCUCUUCAUCUGCUGGGAUUAACGUGGGAACUGCCCCGCUCACCUUGUGUCCUGCGUUUUAAGUGAUGUGCUUCUCUCUUCAGGAUUCUGUUUUGGGGGUGUCAGCUAUACUGUGACCAGAAUCUGGGAGCACUUAGAUGCUGGGUGGUCCUGGCUCGGGCCUUUGUCUAAAGACUUGACAAGCACUGACUGUUGGACUUCCUCUCUGUGACUAGCCAACUGCCUGAAGACUCUCCUGUGCUCUCUUCCUGGGCUGGUUGAACUUCCUCUAAGGAGUGUGGGUGGCUCCCCUCAGUCUGACCCAGCAGCCAGAGAGCUAGAGGGAGUUACAAUGCCUUUUGUGUGCUAAGCACAGUUCUUCAUUUCUACCAUCUUCUACUCAUUAGAAGACCCCUACAUCCAAUCAACAUCCAAGACGAUGGGAAUUCCCCACUGACUUUUGGAGGUAGGAUGUCAAACAAUUUGUAACGUAUCUCAAACUACCAAAAUGAACAUCGAAAACUGGAGAAGGGCCCAAGGCCCUAGAAGGGAAAGGAAGGCAGAUAUCAGCUUCUAGAACCGAGCAUUGGGGCAUGGACCGGAUCCUUGGAUCCUAAGUUCACAUUAUCCCAGGAAUUGUGCAAGAUUUGACAGAGUCCUCUCAGAGACUCUCACCAAGACCUCAAAAUCUGGAGUAUGUUAGUCAGUUUUUCAUCACAGUGGAAAAAAAAUACUUGAGAAAAUCAAUUUAAAGGAGAAACUGAUUGGGUGUGGUGACACAGGCCUUUAAUGCUAACAGAGCAGGCAGGCAAACUCCUACAUUGGCAGCCAGUCAGUCACUACAUAGUGAGUUUGAGGCCAGCCAGGGACAGACAUAUCACAAGACUUUGUCUCUAUAACAACAAUAACAACAACUACAAACUUUAAUUUAAAAUGAAAGGAAGAAGGUAUAUUUUGGUUUGUGGUUUUAAAGGUAUCAAUCCAUGAUCAUUUAGCUUCCUAUAUCCAGGGCAUGGUGGCAACCAGGAAGCUAAGGAGAGGAGUCCCAACCUGUCCAACUACAGGUUGCUCUUCCUACAGCACUACCUACGAAGCCCUGUACUCCUCCCCAAAGUGCCACAGGCUAGCAAGCAAGCCUUUGGGAGACACUUCAGGUCCAAACCAAAACGCUGAGGGUUAUUGGGAGUGGAUGUGGACCCAGGUAUUAGGAAGGAAGAGAGAAGGUAGAGAAGGGAGUGCCCAUGUGACACAAUGGGAAGAGGCUCUUCUGGGACGUACUGGGCCGGUGAUCCAAAGCCCCAGGAUAAUAAGAGCUCUGUGCAGCUCUGCACACACCCUCCAUGGUGCUUUGCGGCUCUGCACACAUCCUCCACAGCGCUGUGCCGCUCUGUGAGGCUCUGUGCAUGCCCUCCACACUCUCAGUUCCCACAUCUGUUCUUCAAGCUUUCAGCUACAGCCACCUACAAAUAUCUUAUGCUUUCUUUGGCUUCAAGAACCCAUUGUCUAGGCCAGCAGAAAGAACUGGAAACUUAGUGCCUCCUUCGGGCAAGGGUCACCUGACCAGUCAUUUGCCACUCCUCAUUCUCAGCCUUGAUAGUCUUCCAGCUCACUGGAGCAUUCAGUGGCCACAAGAGUGUCCUCUCAGUUAGCAUCCCCGAUCCCUCUUUUCCUCUUUCCCUCUCACAGAUGAAGUCCUACCUCUGCCUUUCUUGUUUCAGGCUCUGCCUGGGAGGAAGCCAAGCUAAGAUCCAGGUAAAAGAACAGAAUCCUGUCAGGUGUGAAGGAAACUCCAUUUCCUCACACUCCAAAAGGCAGAAGGGGCAAAUGGCUACCUGUGGAACCUAUUAGCAUAUGGUGGCACUUUCUGGCCUCCAGGCUCCUUCAGUAUCACAAGUACCUGUUCGACAUUUCAGAGUCCCCGCUAGCAUCCUAGCCCUCACCUCCUCCCUGCCCUAAACUCCAGCUCACAGGCUCUCCUUCCCACAGCUGCCCAUGCGGCUCAUUAUAACCCUGUAUUUUGACUGUAGGCCAUCUUUUUGUCUUCCUUGCCCCCUCUCUUCCUCUCUCCUCUGUCAUCACCCUCUGCCACCAGGUAGGGCACAUUUCCACUGGGGCUAUGAAUUGUAUAUUUUUCUAUGCAGCACACACCCGUUGAAAGUUCCCUCUGGACACCCCUCAUUCUUUGUCUCCCUGUCUCUCUGUCUAUCUGUCUGAAUCUCUCUCCCCUGCUGUAGUCUCCCCUCCCCCAGCCUGAAACCUGCUUGCUCAGGGGUGGAGCUUCCUGCUCAUUCGUUCUGCCACGCCCACUGCUGGAACCUGAGGAACCACACACGUGCACCUUUCUACUGGACCAGAGAUUAUUCGGCGGGAAUCGGGUCCCCUCCCCCUUCCUUCAUAACUAGUGUCGCAACAAUAAAAUUUGAGCCUUGAUCAGAGUAACUGUCUUGGCUACAUUCUUUUCUCUCGCCACCUAGCCCCUCUUCUCUUCCAGGUUUCCAAAAUGCCUUUCCAGGCUAGAACCCAGCUUGUGGUCUGCUGGCCGGACACAACACCCUGCUCUCCCCCCCCCCUUCCCUGCCUCACGUCCCCGCUCCACUCUGAGACAGCCUUUGCUCCCCAGCCCUAAUAACCCUCUUGCAUUAGGUUUGUUACACAUUGUGAGCUAUGCAGCAUGUCUUGAUCUGGACCUGCCCCCGCCCCCAGGUAAAUUUCUCUCCUUAAUGCUAACACCCUCCUCUCUGACUGCUCUCCUGUCCUCCAUGUCUGCGGCUCAUGCUCAGUCUCCUGCUUUCUCCAUUAUCUGUAGCAUGACAUCAUUCUUCUUAAAGCAAUCCCCUCCUCUUUCUGUGCCAACAGCCAUACGUCCAUUUGCCCUUAGCUAUGAGACUGCAGAUAAUCAAAAGCUGUUAACCUAAAAAUCAUUUCAUUAGGG